CAUUGAGUGAAAGUCUUAGAGAUAAGACCCUUCUUCGGAACACGAAAACAGGUGCUGCAUGGUUGUCGUCAGCUCGUGUCGUGAGAUGUUAGGUUAAGUCCUGCAACGAGCGCAACCCUCAUAUACAGUUGCCAAUAUUCAGUUAGGAACUCUGUAUAGACUGCCGUGGUUAACACGGAGGAAGGUGGGGAUGACGUCAAAUCAUCACGGCCCUUACGGCCUGGGCUACACACGUGCUACAAUGGCUAUUACAAAGAGUUGCAAUACAGUAAUGUGGAGCGAAUCUCAAAAAGAUAGUCUCAGUUCGGAUUGUGGGCUGCAACCCGCCCACAUGAAGUCGGAGUUGCUAGUAAUCCCGAAUCAGCAUGUCGGGGUGAAUGCGUUCCCGGGUCUUGUACACACCGCCCGUCACGCCAUGGGAGUUGGGAGUGCCCAAAGUCGGUGACCUAACCGCAAGGAAGGAGCCGCCUAAGGUAAUACCAAUGACUGGGGUGAAGUCGUAACAAGGUAGCCGUAUCGGAAGGUGCG
rnacentral:rRNA from 1 species